UACGUAGGGUGCGAGCGUUGUCCGGAAUUAUUGGGCGUAAAGAGCUUGUAGGCGGUCUGUCGCGUCUGCUGUGAAAAUCCGGGGCUCAACCCCGGACUUGCAGUGGGUACGGGCAGACUAGAGUGUGGUAGGGGAGACUGGAAUCCCUGGUGUAGCGGUGAAAUGCGCAGAUAUCAGGAGGAACACCGAUGGCGAAGGCAGGUCUCUGGGCCACUACUGACGCUGAGAAGCGAAAGCAUGGGGAGCGAACAGG
rnacentral:rRNA from 1 species